CAUUUUUCAAUGAUCAUUUUCCAAUUAUCAUUGAAAAAUGACAGUGUAUACAGAAGAAAAUGUCAUUUUUUACACUCUCAUUUCCAAUGAUCCUUAAAAAUGAAAAGUUGAACAUGUUCAACUUUUAAUUUUUCAAUGACAUUUUUUUUCUAUUGUUUUAAAUCGAAUCCAUUGUUUUCGCACACGUGUUUGUUGCACGCGAUAUAGUUUUGGCGUAAACAUUUUUGAAAACAAAGAUUUGAACAAGUAAUUCACCCGAGAAUGAAGACGCAAGAAGCGAUCGAAAUUUUUUUUGAGAUUUGGAGAAGCCAGCCCAGUUUGUGGGAUGUUAAAUCCCCGUUUUAUAAGGACAGAAACGAGAAGCCAAAAAUUAUGAGAUAUUCAAAGGCAGACUAGGAAUGGAAGAGAAAUUAGUGAGGAGUAAAUUGAAUACACUAUUUCAGCGCAGAAUUGAAGAAAGUAAACAACAGCAACAAAUGUGGAGCAGGACGAGAUGAUGUUUACGAAAGUUAAUGGCCAUACUUUCAGUUCUUGCUAUUCCUACGUGAAUUCAUCGUCCCAAGAAAAACAACUUCUUCGAUGGUGGGUAUAAAUUUCAGACAAAUUUUUCUUGCCAUGGAACAGCACCGGGGGAGUUAAAGUACGCACAAAAUUUAUCCCCGAUAUCUUUCGCAUCAUUUCUGUAGUAGUUCAGAUGAGAUUACUCGCUGUAACCUCUUUCAGAACACCGCCUAUUCAAUCUCCGAUCCCAAGGAACUCUUCAACACAUGCCACACAAAAUUACCCACCCUUUGUGUCUCCGCCGUUAUCGCCUGUUUUACAGAAUAUGUACCGACACCCAGUGAACAUAUAUCAAAACACUUAUUAGAGUCGAGAAAGUUUGUCAGAUCUCAACCCAGAAGAGGGCUCACAAAGUGCAGGGUAUUAAUGUGUGACUGCUAGUUUAGUACGUUUGAAAAAUUACUGAACGAAAUAUAUAUUUACCUUGAGGUAGUUUUCUUUUAAUCGCAUGUAAAUAGCUUCGCAAACUUCAGCGAUGAACUGUGACAAAGUACUUUUGUGAACGCGAAAUAAAUACUGUAAUUCGGUGUAAUUUAUCCCACAUGAGAAAAACUUCAAAGUUGCAGCUACUUUGACUUUAGCAGGAAUUGGGUCUCGCAAAUGCGUUGUUUUUUUCUCAAUGUCAACUUCUAUGAGAUUUAGGAGCUCCUCAAAAAUAUUCGGCGGCAUUCUUAAAAAUCGCGUAUACUCUGCAAUUUCCUCUACACGCAGUUCAUACAUGACAGUAUUGUGGAUGCCAAGUUCAUUUCGCCUAUACGGCUUCACCCAUACAUUUCUUUGCAUUUUUUCCUAUGUUUAGCUCUCUUUUUUGAUAACAUAUGCACAACAAAAGCAGCUGCUAUUUCUUCUUCAGAGUCCAUGUUGCAAAGAAAACAUGCUCAAGUUUCAUGUUUUUAAUGAUAGUGUAUUUGCGCCAAAAUUUGUCAUUUUUAAUGUCAUUGGAAUGUAGCAUUGAAAAAUGAUCAUUGAAAAAUGAUAGUGUAUUUCAGCCUUAAUGCAAGAGUAUAUCCUCGAAUUAGUGAUUGUGGAAAGAAAGUGAAUAUCAUUCUGCUUUAUUUUCAUGGAACUAUCCGUCUCUGCCUGUCUUUGUAGAAGUUAAAAACCCAAAUAAUUAAGUAUUCUCUUAAAUAGUUAAGUAUGAUUAAGUAUUUUUUAGAAUCCAAAACCAUCAGGAGAUUACCUGCAGCUAAUCAAAUAAAGCAUUCUUAGUUUAAAUUUGAUUAAAGAUUGUGAAAUGAAAAUCGGAACCAUCAAGUGCAACAAUUUGAACUCACAACUAGCUCUUGAUCUUUUAAUAUUCACUAGAGACAUGGAGGAUGUCUGCUCUGUAAGUAAAUCUAUAUAUUGUACGGUUUAUUUGUGCAUAUGUAUACUUUUCGAUUUAGAAGUUGUUAAGAAGACAAAAAAAACACAACUAUGCAAAAAAUUCCGAAGAUAUUUCGCGAUUAUGAUGAUAAAACUUUGGUCAAAAACAAGAGGAAAGGAGCAACGUCAAUAUGCAACAAGUGCAUUUCUUGUAUCCAAUUAGAUAAUGCAUGUUAUGGUUACUAUGAGAAAUGACUUUUGGGAGAGACAACAGUGCAUGUCGUCAUAGUUUUAAUUGUUGAAAAUAAAGGAAAGCAGAUAUGAACUUUUUUAUUCUAUUACACGUCACAGCUACGUAUUUAUUUAUAUUUAAUGUAUCAGUAAAUCUUUUGACGACUUAAAAAUGAUUAAAUUCUAAAAAAUUCUAAAA